ACCUGGGGUCACCAGAUUUGAAGGAGGCACGCAUGUCAUUCGUGACAUUUACCUUUGUGCGAGCGGAGAUCGAGGAGCUCGGCUUCCCCCAGCGCGUCUCGCCGCUGCAGAGUCACAACAGAGCAAUGUGAAAAAAUCAUACUUUGCACUUGGAAUAGAAUGUUUUACCCAAGGGUUUCGUAGCCUUCUACAAACCCUGGUUCAUUAAAUCUCAAAAUAUCCUCGUGUUACUAUAUCAGUGUUCCUGAUGGUAAACUGAGGCGUAGACCAUUGAUAAUCUAAUCCACAUACUUACAACAAGUGACUAACUGAAGAGCAGACAGACCCAUAGGGAAAUUAACUGCCAGUUCCCUUAAUUGCCAUGUGACAACACGUGAUUAGGCAACUGGAUACAUCAGAAGCCAAAUUCUCCCCUCAGUUUUUGCUUUUGCAGUCCUUAUGGACUUCAGUGAUUUGUGUGAGCAUCAGCGAGAGCAGUCCUUACCCAGAGGCCUACAGUCACUGGCUCAAGUUUUGUGAUGUGCUGUUUAUAACUGGACAGGCCUGGAAGUGGCUUAGUACCUUCCACUCCUAUUUUAAGUCAGCAGCAACAGUAAGCUGAGCGGCCUCGAAGACCGAGUUGCUUCUCCAAAAGGAUGCUCAACUUGCAGCUGAGGUUAUUAACAAGGUAACAGAGGAGAUUUAUAAUAUAUAGGUUAAAGUAUGUAGGAAACCUGGUCAGUAGCUACU
rnacentral:lncRNA from 1 species